rnacentral:rRNA from 1 species
AUUGCCUCAGUAACGGCGAGUGAAGCGGCAACAGCUCAAAUUUGAAAUCUGGUCCUUUCAGGGCCCGAGUUGUAAUUUGUAGAGGAUGUUUCGGGUGCGGUGCGGGUCUAAGUCCUUUGGAACAGGGCGUCAUAGAGGGUGAGAAUCCCGUAUGUGACCCGUAACCAACCCCAUGUGAAACCCCUUCGACGAGUCGAGUUGUUUGGGAAUGCAGCUCAAAAUGGGUGGUAAAUUUCAUCUAAAGCUAAAUACUGGCCAGAGACCGAUAGCGCACAAGUAGAGUGAUCGAAAGAUGAAAAGCACUUUGGAAAGAGAGUCAAAAAGUACGUGAAAUUGUUGAAAGGGAAGCGCUUGCAACCAGACCUGUCCGCAGGCGAUCAACUCCCGUUCGCGGGGGUGCACUCGUCUGUGAUCAGGCCAGCAUCGGUUCGGGCGGUCGGAUAAAGGCCUUGGGAAUGUAGCUCCUUCCGGGGAGUGUUAUAGCCCUCGGUGCAAUGCGGCCAGCCCGGACCGAGGACCGCGCCUUCGGGCUAGGAUGCUGGCGUAAUGGUUGUAAGCGACCCGUCUUGAAACACGGACCAAGGAGUCUAACAUCUAUGCAAGUGUUUGGGUGUCAAACCCAUACGCGUAAUGAAAGUGAACGGAGGUGAGAACCCUUUAAGGGCGCAUCAUCGACCGAUCCAGAUGUCUUCGGAUGGAUUUGAGUACGAGCAUAGCUGUUGGGACCCGAAAGAUGGUGAACUAUGCCUGAAUAGGGUGAAGCCAGGGGAAACCCUGGUGGAGGCUCGCAGCGGUUCUGACGUGCAAAUCGAUCGUCAAAUUUGGGUAUAGGGGCGAAAGACUAAUCGAACCAUCCCUCCCGUGGGCUUCCCUUAAAUUUUAGGGUGCUACUGGUGGUUAAUCGGAGUAGAAUUAAUAUUUCUACCCUCAGUCCUUCGGGGCAACAUCACUACUUGCAUGGACCUCCGGAAAAAGUCUUUAGGGGCUUCCAAGGAGCAAUAUGCUGCAGAUUGACCCCCCCCGUGGUAUAUCUGUUCACAGACCAAAUAGUGGUGGCCGGGGUCUUCUCUAGGGAGGCUUUGGUUCAGAUAUGGCCGAGUCGCUCCUUCCUUCAAGGAGUCGGUAUCAACGCUAGUAGCUGGUUCCUGCCGAAGUUUCCCUCAGGAUAGCAGUAACGUUUUCAGUUUUAUGAGGUAAAGCGAAUGAUUAGAGGCCUUGGGGUUGAAACAACCUUAACCUAUUCUCAAACUUUAAAUAUGUAAGAAGUCCUUGUUACUUAGUUGAACGUGG